CUUGCCCGGGGUUUCGGCCUGCCUCUGGUUCUCGCAAGGGAUUCACUCCCGUAGCCCCUGCUCAGUCCGUGUUUAAUGCUGAAGUUACUCCUAAUGUCCAUGAGGAAACCCGUGAAGGUGCGUGAGGCUUCUUGUGUGAUUAGGUGUAGGGGAACGAGGUCUCACCCCUGCGGCCCUCUGAAAUGGAGCCAAACUCUGAAUUCACACGCAUCUGCUCUGAAGUGAGUCCAGCUGAACAUUUGGAGCCCUCUCGAGGAAAGUUGUCAUUCCUGGAAGGAGAUGCGAAGCAUGAAGUGGAAGACUUUUCUACAUGAAAAAAGAUCAUGCAUGAUACAUCUGUACUGGCAUAAUCACAUCUCA